UUCCUCCUAGAGAUGAGUCUUUCUGGCAAAGAAGUAAUUGGAUGCUGCAGGUACAAAGUCUGUAAUACCUGGAGAAAGAUACACAAGAAUCCAUGACAAUCUAAGCGAUGAGCUCUGCACCUCUUCGUUCUCACUUCGCUGAAACGCUUCACCAAAAAUCUCAGCGCCGCCGCUACGUCCUCCUACUCCAGAAGAGAGAAGUGAAAGAUUACUACGUGGGGCUCAUUAAGACUGUUUUAUUUUGUCUGCAAUUUUUUCCCCCCGUCUAUUGUCUCUCCACCCUCUCAGCGAAAGUCUCGACGGAGUCACAGCCCUGGGUGCAUCGCAGCGAUGAGACAAAUGCAGAAAAUGAACUGGAAGAAAACAGGGAGGCGAGAAAAAUGCGCGGCUGGCCGACGAUGGCCGAAAACUCAAAGGAGAAAUGGUUACACUGCAUCGCCAGCUUGCCUCAUCUGAAUCCCUGACUCCUGACCUCCCCUGAGGAAGGUGCUCACUGUCAGAAGAACCCCCGGCAUCCUACCACCACAGAAAGGUGAUUCCUUUAAAGCACCAGAAACGGAUGAAGGAACGAGAGGGGGCUGCGCGAGGCAGGCAGACGGGGAGGGGAGCUGUCGCUUGUGUCAGGUUAACCUCAGAGACACAUCCGGAGCUCAGCAUCUGGGAGACGGAGGGGAGAGAGAGAGGCACCGCCGCUCCAUUUGGCGCAAUUUCACCACGGCAGCAACAGAUAGCAACAAAAGUCCCGUUGAGGUCUUUAAGGUUGUUAUUGGACAUUUUGAGCAGUGAAUCGUUUGGCAUUUGGUGUUCUGUGAGGAGCGACGGUGGGCAUGUGUUAACUACACACAGGACACUCGAGCGAAAACCAGACGCCCACCGAAUCCUUCAAUCUGUCAUUUCCUCUCGCAGCUCCCGAGCAAGAUAA
ensembl:lncRNA